UUACAGCUUUAUAGACAGUAAUUCUUGGGG
rnacentral:piRNA from 1 species